rnacentral:rRNA from 1 species
CUUAAAAUUUAAAAGACUUGACGGUGCUUCACAUCGACCUAGAGGAGCCUGUCUAAUAACCGAUAAUCCACGAUUAACCCAACCCCCUCUAGCCUACAGUCUAUAUACCGCCGUCGCCAGCUUACCUUGUAAAAGAAAUAAAGCAAGCUCAAUAACACUAUCCUUAAUACGACAGGUCGAGGUGUAACUAAUGAGAGGGACAAGAUGGGCUACAUUUUCUAUACUAGAAAAAACGAAUAGACUAUGAAACUAGAAACUGAAGGCGGAUUUAGAAGUAAGUUGAGAAUAGAACACCCAACCGAAAUUAACGCAAUGAAGUGCGCACACACCGCCCGUCAUCCCUGUAAAACAGACAAAACCAUCCAUAAACACCUCUAUUUUUCCAAAGCAGGGCAAGUCGUAACAUGGUAAGCGUACUGGAAAGUGCGCUUAGAAACAAAAAGUAGCUUACGCCAAAGCACUCGACUUACAAUCGAACGAAAUUAUUCAAUAAUCUUUUUGAGCCAAAAACACAUAAUUAACACAAACAUCUAUAGUCUAUAAAACAAAUCAUUUGACCAUCUUAGUAGAGG